rnacentral:rRNA from 1 species
CCUACGGGGGGCAGCAGUGGGGAAUAUUGGACAAUGGGGGGAACCCUGAUCCAGCCAUGCCGCGUGUGUGAAGAAGGCCCUCGGGUUGUAAAGCACUUUCAGUGAGGAAGAACGCCUGGUGGUUAAUACCCAUCAGGAAAGACAUCACUCACAGAAGAAGCACCGGCUAACUCCGUGCCAGCAGCCGCGGUAAUACGGAGGGUGCGAGCGUUAAUCGGAAUUACUGGGCGUAAAGCGCGCGUAGGUGGCUUGAUAAGCCGGUUGUGAAAGCCCCGGGCUCAACCUGGGAACGGCAUCCGGAACUGUCAAGCUAGAGUGCAGGAGAGGAAGGUAGAAUUCCCGGUGUAGCGGUGAAAUGCGUAGAGAUCGGGAGGAAGACCAGUGGCGAAGGCGGCCUUCUGGACUGACACUGACACUGAGGUGCGAAAGCGUGGGAAGCAAACAGGAUUAGAUACCCGGGUAGUC